UGCAACGUGCGCCGACACAUAAAUUGCAACUCAAAGGAAACUCUGUACGUAAUAAAACAAAGCUGCGUCAUGCUUUCAAUUUUCUGUAAUAUAAAUUUUCGCAAAUUUGACAAGUCACAAGACAAGCGACAUGACAAUAAAAUGGGACACUCAAUAAAUUACAUUUAAAUAACAUUAUUAUUUUCUCAAAUGCACAGGGAAGGAAACUUAAGCUGUCAGAGUCGAUGAGAGAUUUUCAUUGCCGUUGGAUUAAUUAUUUGAUAACAUAUGAAAACUGAGGAGUUGCUGAUCAACUGCAAGUUAUAGCAGUCAAAGUCGAUGUCACUCUGUCUCUCUCACUCACUAUCUGUGUUUGUGUGUCUUUUCUGUUGUGUGCUGUCCAGCACAGACGAGUCGUUGACUGUGCCAAGCGACAACAAUAUCCGGUAGGACUCAAUUUACCACAACAUCUCCACCCCCCAUCAUCAUCUUCUUCUUGCCACACACACUCGUUCACUUGCCUCAUUCACAUAAAAUGGCUUAUCAGUGAAAAGGCUCGAAUUACAAGCAGGCAAACGUGGCAAGCAAACGACAACGACGUCGACGUUGGCAUCCUUUUGGCCAACGUACUAAAGCAACCCUCUUUUCACCGCAAGUUAAUGGACCAAGCUCCACAACAGAGUCAGAGUCAGAGUCGGGGCAAAAAAACAGGCCUGAUUAUCAACGCCAUUGUCACAUCUCCAACGACAACGACGUCGACGACGACGUCAACGAAGAGUCUUGCAACAAAAACACAAUGCCUGGAAAUCCAAUUAUGACAUAAAAAUUUGCGUAAAUUGUGAAAUGUAAAUUUUGUCAACACUUUUUGGCAACUAAAAAAGGGUUUUUUGGUGUGCCCACCCGCAACGCAA